UGGAACAAGUACCAGCCACUGCCUGUCACCAUUUCCAGUAGUCAAGACAGUGCCAUGCCCAGCUCUUUCUCUUCCAAGAGCAGUAGCAGCAGUGACCUUGCCAGUCCAUCAGAGGUUGACCCCUACCUUCGUCUGUCCCCGGAAGCUCAGCAUGCAGUUGACAACCUUGUCAGUAUGGGUUUUUCCAAACCCCGUUCAGCACGUGCUGUUGAGAAGUUUGGGAAGGAUGAGAAGGAGGUGAUUGACCACCUGUGUGGAGUAAACAACUUGUCUGAGAAGGGAUUUGACACCUACCAUGCUGAGAUGGUCUUACUACUGUAUAAUAAUAAUCUCACGCGGGCAGAGAAAUAUCUAGACAUGUUUCAACAGUUCAAAGAAUUGGGCUUUAGCCAUGACAGAAUCAAAGAAGCCUUAGUCACAAAUAAUCUUGAUAGAGAGAAAGCCUUAGAUUUCCUGACAACCUGACAGGGGCUGUAACCUUUCUAUGAUGACCUUUUGACCCAAAGAUCAAAUUUUAGCAACAGACCCAACCACCAAGAAAGCAGUGAGUGCAAAGAUUGUGAACUUUGACCAUAUGGAGUGUUAUUGUUGCAUGGUCUUGGGUCAGGAUGUUUCACUUGCUGAAGUUGCUGUUGUAAAUCACUCUUGAGAAUUUGCAAGCAGUUUUGUGAUAAGGAAACAUUGAACUUUGAUUAUUAUUCAACAAGAGUUAUUUCCCAUGGAUGUGAGGGCAUUAAUUGUGUCAUACACAUGUGCCAAGUCUAGAGACUGUGUUUAUGACCUCCAAUAGUAAGCUUGAACUUAAUAACAGAAUAACCACUAUUUAUUCAGAUCAAAUCAUAGCACACUCAAUAUAGUGGACAGAAACCUGUAUAUAAUGAAGGAAGUCUCUCAUCAAAUCUUACUGGUCAGAAAAUAUAAACCACUGCCAAUGUUGAAUGAUAUAGCUUUGCAUUUUUUUCUUUUUGAGACCGCGAGAUAUAUACAAUUUAUAUCUAGACUUGUAUACCUUUUAUUUAUUGAUUUUUUUUAGCAGGUUGAUAAUGCCAGUAGAUAUGUCACACUCUAAUCUUAUACUGGUUGUUGUGUGAAAAGAACUUCUAUUCAACCAUAUAAACCUUUGUUAUUGUAACAGAACACUUUUAAAUAAGAUGGGCCUUCUUUAUGUUGUUCAGGUAGGUAGCCAACAGCUGUUGAAAGGAAACCCUUUCUCAAUUUAAAUAUUACCAUUUUGAAAUAAAAUUCUGUACAAUAAGGAGUUGGUGUUAGUUACCGGCUUGUAGCUGAAACCAGCAGUGUUAAAAAAUGGAUUGCCAUCAUGUUGAAUUACAUGUUGUGAAAUUACACACUCUUCACAGCUUGAUUAUUAAACAUCAGUUGAGAAAUGUCAUUAUUGUGCUUACAUUGCUAUUCUGUAUUUUUGUCAUGAUUCUGUUGUAAAAGUCAUAUAUUUAAGUAAAGAUUUGUAGUAAAGUAUGUAUUCAGUAUGUUACAGAUCAAGGUAGUGCUCUUCCUCAAGCAAUCAGAAUUCCUCUUAACUUAUUCUUUGUCUUGUCUAAGCAAAACCUUUAUUAGAUACCAUUACAUCAUCCUUGUACUGUGACCAGUGGUGCCAUUAUGACGUCCUUGUACUGUGACUAGUGGUGCCAUUAUGACAUCCUUGUACUGUGACUAGUGGUGCCAUUAUGACGUCCUUGUACUGUGACUAGUGGUGCCAUUAUGACGUCCUUUACUGUGACCAGUGGUGCCAUUAUGACAUCCUUGUACUGUGACUAGUGGUGCCAUUAUGACAUCCUUGUACUGUGACCAGUGGUGCCAUUAUGACAUCCUUGUACUGUGACUAGUGGUGCCAUUAUGAUGUCCUUGUACUGUGACCAGUGGUGCCAUUAUGACAUCCUUGUACUGUGACUAGUGGUGCCAUUAUGACAUCCUUGUACUGUGACUAGUGGUGCCAUUAUGAUGUCCUUGUACUGUGACUAGUGGUGCCAUUAUGACAUCCUUGUACUGUGACUAGUGGUGCCAUUAUGACGUCCUUGUACUGUGACUAGUGGUGCCAUUAUGACGUCCUUUACUGUGACCAGUGGUGCCAUUAUGACAUCCUUGUACUGUGACUAGUGGUGCCAUUAUGACAUCCUUGUACUGUGACCAGUGGUGCCAUUAUGACAUCCUUGUACUGUGACUAGUGGUGCCAUUAUGAUGUCCUUGUACUGUGACUAGUGGUGCCAUUAUGAUGUCCUUGUACUGUGACCAGUGGUGCCAUUAUGACAUCCUUGUACUGUGACUAGUGGUGCCAUUAUGACAUCCUUGUACUGUGACCAGUGGUGCCAUUACAACAUCCAUGUACUGCGACCAAUGAUAUAAAUAUUUCUGCACUGACUUAUAAGAUAAUAGAUAUUAUACAUUGUAUCUAUCAAUUCUACAUGUAGAUUAUUAUACAGAGAUUUCUAAUGUGGAAAUAUUAACUCUGCUGAAUAACGCACAUUUGAGUAUUUUUAUGAGAAAGAUUUGACAUGCUUGAUUAUUAUACAUUAAAUUUGAUUGCGACUUUUAUUUUUAAAACAGAUCAUUAAUUAUAAAAGAUACCUGUGCACACAAACUACCUAGAUAAUUGUCCUUCAACAGAAUGUUUCUUGGAAACAGAAAAUGUUUCAUUAAGGAAUAAAAUUUGACAUAGGGUAUAGUUUUUAAUGCUGAUGUUUCUUUUUAGUUUUGUCAAAAAGGAACUUCAGAGAACUAGGAUUUAAUUCUAGACUGUAUUCAGUGAUGUUAAGAUUCCCUUUUAUGCUGGUAAUGUAAUACUUCUACUGACUGUAAUCAAUUGCGUUCCAUUUGUCCUGUGGGUUUAAAUCCAGUGUUGUGGCGUGGUAUUGAAGCACAGUAAACAUAACUUGGGUUAUAUUAGUUUGGGUAUAGGGUAGGUAGGCUUAUUACCUGAUACUUGACUUGAGUGUAUAAGAAUUCAACACAUCUGUCCAUCAUUUCCUCCGAAUUAAACAAUGAGUAGUCUUCUAGUCAUAUUCUGUUAGGAAAGUGAAUGUAUUUUCAUCAAAAUACUUGCAGAAUGUGUUGCAAUUUGUCUGAAUUGUCUUCAAUAAAUUUCUUUUUAAAACAGUGUCUAAAUAUCUCUUACCUGGCAUUUUGAUUUGAUUAUAUCACUUUGACUUUUCUCCAGUAAAACCAAACGGUAAUGAUGAAUGCUACAUGUAAUGGUUUAUUGAGAUGGGUAGAUUGGCUGUAUAGUCCAAAACAUGAUAAGUCACUACUUAUUGUGGAUGUGUAGUUAAGUGUUGUGUCCAUAUUUUGAGUAAGACUAGAGGAACGACCACUUCAUUUAUCACCAGUGCAUGUUACAUGUGUGGUGGCAAAGGAGCCUGGUAUCCUUUAGAGUGCCCUAAGACAGCAUGGGGAGUAGGGUGUCCCUACAGACUUGCUGGAGAAUAUGGUUCAAGCCUCAAAUGGCAUCGCUACAAUAACGGAAUGACAGUUUUGUGUGCUGGGGAUGAUACGCUGAACUCAUGAGAAUGUCCUCUGUGAUAGGAAGUUGUGUGACAAAAUUAGGUUAUGUGAUUGUUCAUAGUUAUGGUCUGAUUGGCUAUCUUGUCCAACAAGUAACUUUUUGCAGGUGUGUAAUUGGUUUGUAAGUGUUCCGAUGUUAAGCAAUGUCAAGCAUUGUCAGUAGUUGCCAGUUCUAUCAACAUGUUCAGAUUCUCCAGUUUGUGGUACAGUAUAUAUAUUGUUGAUGAAUCAAUGUUAAAAAAAUCGGGAAAAAGGAUGAAAUAUGAAAAUCUGAUAUACACAAAUGAGUUAUAAAAACAAAUGACCAAAAUGGCAUGUAAGGAAGGAAUAUUAUUAACAUAAAUUUACAUAUGUGAAUACAUAAUCAGGAAAUGGGUUAUGGUUAUUUUUUUUUUUUUAAUAAAAAUUUACAGUGUUCAUGUAUAUUACAGCUGAUAUUAAUGAUGAUGUUUUUGAAAUGUGUUUGUUCUACAUGAUACACUAAGAAAUAAUACUGAAUUCUGGAAAACUCGCAUUAUAUACCUAUAGUUCCUUUUCUUCAAUGGUGAAAAUACAUAAACACUACGAUUAGACAUUUGAGCACUAAAUGGCAAAAUUAGUGCAAGGUAACAUAGGCCUGUUGUAUGUUUUAGUCCACAAUCAUCAGAUGAUGGGCUAUUUGAAUCGCUCUGUGUCAUUCAUCCGUUGUCUGUUCAUUGUCCAUCGGUCGUCCAUCUGCAAACAAUUUUUGUUAUUACUAUUUCUUGAGAAUAAUACUUUCUCAAAUUGCAUAUGUAGGUUCCCCUUAGUACCUAGUUGUGCCCAUGUAAUUUUAGGACUGAUCAGAAAAAUGAAAUGGCAGUCAGGCAGUCAUCUUGGAUUUUUUCAAUAACGUUUGUUAUCUCUAUUUCUUGAAUAGUGAAAGAUGGAUAUCUCACAAAUUUCAUUUGUAGGUUACCAUUAGUCCCAAUUUGUGCCCAUUCGAUUUUGGGUCUGAUCAAAAUGGCCGACAGAUGGCCAUCUUCAAUUUUCACUUUAAAAGUUUAUUAUCACUAUUUCGUGAGAACUACUGUAUAGACCUUUCUCAAAUUUCAUUGAUAGUUUCUUUUGGUCCUUAGUUAUGCCCACCUUGGGGCUGUUCAGAAAUAUGAAACAGCCGACAAGUGGCUAUCUUGGAUUUUGACGUUGAAAAUUUGUUAUCGCUAUUUCUUGAGAAGUACUGGAUGGACUUUUCUCAAAUUUCAUAUAUAGCUUCCCAUUUAUCCCUUGUUGUGCCCAUUCAAUGCUGAAUUCUGAUCAGAAAAACAAAAUGGCAGUUGUGCCUGUUUAAGUUUGGGACAGAUCAGAAAAAAAAAUUACUAACAAGCAGCUAUCUUGGAUUUUGCCCAGUAAAGAUUGUUAUUGCAAUUUAUUAAGAAGUACUGAAUGAAUAUCUCUCAAAUGUCAUACAUCUGUUUUCUUCGGUCUCUCCUUGUGCUCGUUUGAUUUUGGGAUUGAUUAGAAGAAACAAAAUGGCUGCCAGAUAGCAAUUUUGGAUUUGGCAGGUAAAGGAAUGUUCAAAUGUCUUGUCAUUAAAAGCAAACACAGAGAAGAGAAAAGAUGGGAAAAGAUCCAACUUUCAAAGAGGAUAUAAAGAUCAAAUAAUGGUGGGCGCCAGGACCCGUUUGGGAUCUCUGGUUUCAUAAUUGGAUGAUACAAUGUCUGUGUUGAAAAAAUCUUAUAAUAUUUAGUGUAUUCAUAUCUUGAUAAUUAAAAUACAAAACAUGGCUUAUAUUGUAACUGUAGUGUUCAGUGUUACAUAGUGUGAUGGGUAUAGUAGGGACCUCAAGAGUAUAACCUUGGCAACAGUGUAUUGGAAUGAUAUUAUUGAUCUAAACAUUGGCCUUUCUGAAAAUUUUGGCUCCCAUAUCUUGAAAACAGAAAAAAAAGAAAGAUAUAACGGGAAGUUGUGCAUUUUAUGUAUGUGUUGUCAUCAAUAAUACUGUCAACUACAUGUUUUCUAGAUUAAUUUAUCCCUGUCGAGGGCUGACACUCUAUAUAUCAAAAUCUACUUGGAGGCAAAGCCAAAAAUGUUAUGUUAGGAACGUCAGCAAUAGUCCAAAUUGAAUUGAUCUGGAAAACUUAUGGAUUCAAUUUCUCACACGAUUUUUGCGAACUGCAUAAAACUCUCUCAACUACAUGUAGUUUCAUUUCCAAAUUCUUUGUUUCAGUUAGAUUACCUCCCUUUGUGGCACCAAAAUCUACCAGACAUACAAGACAAGAGAGAAAAAUGUAGCACCUAGCAGCAUAUCAGAUUUCCAUGUCUCAUCAUAGAGUAAAAAUAUGUCAAAAAGCCCCCGUACCCAUCGAUGGUAUGGAUACAGUAUAUUCUGAUUAAACUACGUGUGACUCUCAUACUUUACUGCUUUGGUCGGGGAAAUUUUUGUUUUCCUUCCGAAGGCAGCUUGUAUGCUUAAAGUUUAUUCUGAAAAUGUAGGUCGACUUUCAAUAUUGUUAUAGUCUUACAAUGAGGUCGCAGCUUUAAUUUUGUCGUUAUUGUAUGUGUCAAUUAUAUUCAUUUAGUGUAUCAAGUUUAAGUUUUGUGAUGGAAUAGUGUUAUGGCAAUGGAGAUAGAGUUCUGUAUGUAUGUCCUAUACAGUCAAGGUCAGAGUUUGAAGUUGAGACACGAGGAAGUGAGAUAAAAACUAAAAUUAGAGCUUAACUUCUUUACUUUGAGACACAGAAGUGAUUUUAUUUCCUAGACAGGUAUGUUUAUAGAAAAGACAUCAUGUUAACAUUGCCAAGUACUGAGAUGACAAGACAUACAUAAAAACUAGGACAGCAGUCAACAUUGCCAAGUAAUGAGAUGACAAGGCAUACAUAAAAACUAGGACAGCAGUCAACAUUGCCAAGUAAUGAGAUGACAGCAAAUCAUACAUAAAUACUAGGACAGCAGUCAACAUUGCCAAGUACUGAGAUGACAACAAGGCAUACAUAAAAACUAGGACAGCAGUCAACAUUGCCAAGUACUGAGAUGACAACAAAUCAUACAUAAAAACUAGGACAGCUGUCAACAUUGCCAAGUACUGAGAUGACAACAAGGCAUACAUAGAUACUAGGACAACAGUCAACAUUGCCAAGUACUGAGAUGACAAGGCAUACAUAAAUACUAGGACAGCAGUCAACAUUGUCAGGUAAUGAGAUGACAAGGCAUACAUAAAAACUAGGACAACUGUCAACAUUGCCAAGUAUUGAGAUGACAAGGCAUACAUAAAAACUAGGACAGCAGUCAACAUUGCCAAGUACUGAGAUGACAACAAAUCAUACAUAAAAACUAGGACAGCUGUCAACAUUGCCAAGUACUGAGAUGACAACAAGGCAUACAUAGAUACUAGGACAACAGUCAACAUUGCCAAGUACUGAGAUGACAAGGCAUACAUAAAUACUAGGACAGCAGUCAACAUUGCCAGGUAAUGAGAUGACAAGGCAUACAUAAAUACUAGGACAACUGUCAACAUUGCCAAGUAUUGAGAUGACAAGGCAUACAUAAAAACUAGGACAACAGUCAACAUUGCCAAGUACUGAGAUGACAACAAGGCAUACAUAAAUACUAGGACAACAGUCAACAUUGCCAAGUACUGAGAUGACAACAAGGCAUACAUAAAUACUAGGACAACAGUCAACAUUGCCAAGUACUGAGAUGACAAGGCAUACAUAAAUACUAGGACAGCAGUCAACAUUGCCAAGUAAUGAGAUGACAAGGCAUACAUAAAUACUAGGACAACUGUCAACAUUGCCAGGUAUUGAGAGGACAAGGCAUACAUAAAAACUAGGACAGCAGUCAACAUUGCCAAGUACUGAGAUGACAACAAGGCAUACAUAAAUACUAGGACAACAGUUAACAUUGCCAAGUAAUGAGAUGACAAGGCAUACAACAUUGCCAAGUAAUGAGAUGACAACAAGGCAAACAUAAAAACUAGGACAACAGUCAACAUUGCCAAGUAAUGAGAUGACAACAAGGCAUACAUAAAUACUAGGACAACAGUCAAUAUUGCCAAGUACUGAAAUGACAACAAAUCAUACAUAAAAACUAGGACAACAGUCAACAUUGCCAAGUAAUGACAACAUGAGAAGAGAACAGUCAUUGAGUAUGAGAUAAUGAAGGGAUCUGACCCUGAGGGGAAUGAUGAUUAAGUAAACCCUCAACAAGCCUCAUGUUUGAGAAGUAAUCUUUCCUCCAUCUCACCUGAAACGGUGAAUGAUUUCUCGUUCCCACAUUCGCUUGUGAACCAUCAAAAUUUAGUGUUGGCAUUUGUUCAUGGAAGAAAUUUGGUAACUUUUUUCAGAAUGAAUAAAAUUAUUUUUAAUAUUUGUUCACUUGUUUUAACCCUUUUCAAUCUUCUAUUAAAUAUUCAUGUGAAAUUUCAAUGCUGAAGCAUAUCUAUGGUCAGCUGUGCAUAUGCUUUACACACCUGGCAUUGUUUAGGGAGAAAAAUAAUGAGUGUGUUCCAUGGACAGGAAAAUCUCAAAAUCCUCAGAAAGAUUACUACACAUAGGUAUGGAUGAUACAAUCUCAUACAGAAUAGAACUUUAUCCUGUUCUUCAUCGUUUUCAUCAUUUCUGUAUUUUUAGCUUACACAAUACACAUGUAGUUACUUUCACUUGAUGAAUAAUAAAAAAUUCCAAAAUUUUAAUUACAUUAUCAAAGAUGCUUGAUGCUAAGAGAGAUUUCCUGAACAUCCAGUAAAGUGAUUUGCUGUCCUAGAAAGAAAAUUCAAUGAAACAGAAUACACCUUUCCUUUCAGAGGUCAGUGACAUUUGACCAUAUGUUACAUUUGAUAUGUCAUUCCUAAGGAAUCCUAUUCACACUUCAUGUGUAGUCAGAACAGAUGAUCCUGAAAAAAGAUACAUUUACGUAGACUGUUUUUUGUCACGGCAGAUAGUCAUUAGAAAAUAUGCCCUGAUAUUGACUGUUUUUUUGUCACGGCAGAUAAUCUUAAGAAAAUAAGCCCUGAUAUUGACUGUUUUUUGUCACGGCAGAUAGUCAUUAGAAAAUAUGCCCUGAUAUUGACUGUUUUUUUGUCACGGCAGAUAAUGUUCAGAAAAUAUGCCCUGAUAUUGACUGUUUUUUGUCACGGCAGAUAGUCAUUAGAAAAUAUGCCCUGAUAUUGACUGUUUUUUUGUCACGGCAGAUUAUCUUCAGAAAAUAUGCCCUGAUAUUGACUGUUUUUUGUCACGGCAGAUAAUCUUAAGAAAAUAAGCCCUGAUAUUGACUGUUUUUUGUCACGGCAGAUAGUCAUUAGAAAAUAUGCCCUGAUAUUGACUGUUUUUUUGUCACGGCAGAUAAUGUUCAGAAAAUAUGCCCUGAUAUUGACUGUUUUUUGUCACGGCAGAUAGUCAUUAGAAAAUAUGCCCUGAUAUUGACUGUUUUUUUGUCACGGCAGAUAAUCUUCAGAAAAUAUGCCCUGAUAUUGACUGUUUUUUGUCACGGCAGAUAGUCAUUAGAAAAUAUGCCAUGAUAUUGACUGUUUUUUUGUCAGGGCAGAAAGUCAUUAGAAAAUACACCCUGAUAUAGACAAUUCUCUUGUCAGGGCAGAUAAUCUUCAGAAAAUAAGCCCUGAUAUUGACUGUUUUUUUGUCACGGCAGAUAGUCAUUAGAAAAUAUACCCUGAUAUAGACAAUUCUCUUGUCAGGGCAGAUAAUCUUCAGAAAAUAAGCCCUGAUAUUGACUGUUUUUUUGUCACGGCAGAAAAUCUUCAGAAAAUAUGCCCUGAUAUUGACUGUUUUCUUGUCAGGGCAGAUAAUCUUCAGAAAAUAUGCCCUGAUAUUGACUGUUUUCUUGUCAGGGCAGAUAAUCUUCAGCAAAUAUGCCCUGAUAUUGACUGUUUUCUUGUCAGGGCAGAUAAUCUUCAGCAAAUAUGCCCUGAUAUUGAUUGUUUUCUUGUCAGGGCAGAUAAUCUUCAGAAAAUAUGCCCUGAUAUUGACUGUUUUCUUGUCACGGCAGAUAACCUUCAGAAAAUAUGCCCUGAUAUUGACUGUUUUCUUGUCAGGGCAGAUAAUCCUCAGAAUACUCAACAAUAGAUGCACUUACAUAUCUAGUGCUGAAGAUGAGGUUAUCAGAUUUUGAGCAAAUGACUUAAAUUCAUUAUAUGAAUGUUGUGUAAGUUGGUUUGAAAGAUGGUGUACUUAUUAUUUUAUAACCCGAGUUGUUUCUGAUGAUGUCUGACCUUUUCAGUUGUUAAAAUUUAUUCACUUUCCAGGUUUUUUUCAUCCUGUUUUACCUAUUUUUUUAGUACUUGUGUCUGCCAUAGGUGUGUUAAGCUAACAUAUUUAGAUUUUUACGUUUUGCAAAACUGUGCGCAUUUUGUUCAUCUAAAAACUGCAUUUUUAAACAGAUAACUGAAACGAUGUGCAUAAGUGCAUCAUUGUGAAAUGUCAAUAAACAACAAAAAAGAAAAGUG